AUAUGUGAUGUAUUACCAUCAUUCAGGAUUGCAAUGAUCAGGACCAUGAAGGGUGGAAAAUCAUACUCCCAGAUCAAUGCUAGGAGCACAAAACCAAGCUGCAAGAGGGCAUAGUUUGACAAGUUAUAUGUUAUUGGAAGCUGAAAGGUGGAACAAACAAAGAUCAAUUGCAUAAGAUUUUCUACUACUGAGAGGAUUUAAUUUUGUUUGUUGGGAUAGUGAGGAAAUACACCAGCAAAGCCAUCUGCCUUUUCAAUGAGCUCGUCUACUGGGAGAGCUUCAUUCUCAUCUUUUUCACGACCCAACAAAGACGAAGAAGGGUACAUAUUUGUACCCAUGCCAAGUCUUCUGCCCGUCUCCUUUGCAAUAGCCAACUGAUCUCCUGCAUUGACAUGUAAACUGUCUCGUCAAGACUUCAACAUUUCAAAAAGCAUACCAACAAAAUUAGCUGACAUAAUAAGGUUCCAGUAGAGAGAAAAUUUAUGAGUUACAUUGGAACAUGACAUGACUUAAUAUAUCAGGGGAAACAUAGUCUCUGUAAAAGUCAUGAGGUAACUAUAUGCUUGGUGUCAUUAUACUGCUUUUCCCACUUAUGUAAACAAUGUCAUUAUACUGAUUUUUCAACGUCUCUGUAACUAUAAUGGCCUAUGUAUUUCUAGAUUACUCCUUACAAAAUGAAAAUAGGAUCACCUGAGAAAUCUUAAUUCCAAAUUUUCAUGCA